CGGUAACAGCUCAAAUUUGAAAUCUGCCGCAAGGCCGAGUUGUAAUUUGUAGAGGAUACUUUUGAUGCGGUGCCUUCCGAGUUCCCUGGAACGGGACGCCAUAGAGGGUGAGAGCCCCGUCUGGUUGGAUGCCAAAUCUCUGUAAAGUUCCUUCGAC
rnacentral:rRNA from 1 species